rnacentral:rRNA from 1 species
AGCGAACGUUUGCGGCGGGCCUAACACAUGCAAGUCGAACGCACUAGCAAUAGUGAGUGGCGCACGGGUGCGUAACACGUGGGUAAUCAACCCUUCAGCCUGGGAUAACGACUCGAAAGGGUCGCUAAUACCGGAUACGGCGCGAGAGGCUUCGGCUUCUCACGAGAAAGCCACGCAAGGGGCACUGAAGGACGAGCCUGCGGCCCAUCAGCUAGUUGGUGAGGUAAGAGCUCACCAAGGCUAAGACGGGUAGGCUGGUCUGAGAGGAUGAUCAGCCACACUGGAACUGAGACACGGUCCAGACUCCUACGGGAGGCAGCAGUGGGGGAAUAUUGGACAAUGGGGGAAACCCGUGAUCCAGCUACGCCGCGUGGGUGAUGAAGGCC